AUCGAACGCUGGCGGCAGGCCUAAUACAUGCAAGUCGAGCGAGCGGCGGACGGGUGAGUAAUGUAUGGGGACCUGCUCGAUAGAGGGGGAUAACUAUUGGAAACGGUGGCUAAUACCGCAUAAUUUCGGAUGAACCCAGAUGGUAUUGGCUAGUUGGUGGGGUAAAGGCUCACCCAGGCGACGAGCUCUAGCUGGUCUGAGAGGAUGAUGAGCCACACUGGAACUGAGACACGGUCCAGACUCCUACGGGAGGCAGCAGUGGGGAAUAUUGCACAAUGGGCGCAAGCCUGAUGCAGCCAUGCCGCGUGUAUGAAGAAGGCCUUAGGGUUGUAAAGUACUUUCAGCGGGGAGGCGUUACCCGCAGAAGAAGCACCGGCUAACUCCGUGCCAGCAGCCGCGGUAAUAC
rnacentral:rRNA from 1 species